rnacentral:rRNA from 1 species
UCCGUAGGCGGGUAAUUAAGUCAGAGGUGGAAUCCCACAGCUUAACUGUGGAACUGCCUUAGAUACUGGUUAUCUUGAGUUUUAGUGAAGUAGAUAGAAUGUGUAGUGUAGCGGUGAAAUGCAUAGAUAUUACACAGAAUACCGAUUGCGAAGGCAGUCUACUACGUAUAUACUGACGCUAAUGGACGAAAGCGUGGGGAGCGAACAGGAUUAGAUACCCUGGUAGUCC